UUAAUGUAUACAUUCUAGCAGGGCCCCGUAAUGUGAGCACAGCAUAUUUCAAGAUAUUUCUGUUAUGGUACAUCCAAGGAUUACAGUUGGAAGCAAUUGAUUUAAUUCCCCAAUACCAUGGCAAUCGGGAAGCGUAAGAUGUGUUUUGUGUGCAGUCAGGAUGGGCUCUAAAGUGCAUCCUUAGGCUCAGCAGCAGAUCUGAGCCUGGGGCCUGAACUCGUGGAACCGCCAUCCUGGGAGCCCUGACAUCCUCAGGCAUGGGUCCCAGCACAGUGUGGGACGGGAAAGCAUCUUGACUGUGGAGGAUGCUGCUGCAUCUUUAUGUGUCGGUACCUUUUGUUCACUCCCUGAAGAGCAGCAACUUUGCUGAUUUUAGUUUAGUUUAUUUUCCCACUAUUAACAUGUGUACAUGUAAGUGUUUUCAAAGAUGCUUACAUUAGUGUCAUGUUUUGCAGAUAAUGUAUAACAGUAGGACUGAGGUGAGAAUCUUUAGUGCAAAAGCUAUUGCUCCUGCGAACGAAGGAAGUGCACGGCAGUGAGGUUUGGGACUGUCUUGGAGAUCGGAAGAUCCAGCCCUGUCCUGGGACAUCUUUGCUCAAGCCUCACACACACAAGAAAACUUCCCUUGCAAACCUCCAGCCUCCAUUGGCAGCCUCCUCAGCACCCCUUUCCAGGUCUCACCUCCAAGCAAAGUAAUCCUGCAGGGAUACAGAAGUGUGACCUCCAGAGCCCCUCCUUGGAGUCUGUCCUUUUCUUGGAAGUGGAAAGAAAAAAAAAAUUAACCCAAAACAAGUAAUAAUUUGAAAUUCUUUUUUUAAUUUUAUUUUUAUUUAUUUAUUUUUGGCUGCACUGAACUUCUCAUUGCAGUGACUUCUCUUGUUGCUGAGCAUGAACUCUAGAGUUGUGGCACCAUGAGCUUAGUUGCUCUGCAGCAUGUCGAAUCUUCCCUGACCAGGGAUCAAAUCUGUGUCCCCUACAUUGGCAGGCAGGUUCUUAACCACUGGGCCUCCAGGGAAGUCCCAAUUUGAAAUUCUUGUUCACUCUUUCUUUUUCCCUUUGCUC
ensembl:lncRNA